rnacentral:lncRNA from 1 species
UCUAACUGACCCUCUUAAGUUUUGGAUUAAUUCAUUUUGGUCCCUAAAGCUUCAAAUUUAUUAAUUUUAACCUCUAAAGUCUGGAAUUAAUUAAUUUUGCCCCCUUAAAGUUUUGAAUCCUAAGGCCCCUAAAGUUUAAAACUAAAUAAAAUAUGCAAAAUUGGUGAUUUUCUUUCUUAAAUUUUGUUACUAAAGACUCUUUUAAGAGAUAUAAUAUUCAGAAGUGAAUUAAUUAAAGCAACAUGUUGCCAAAACUACCUCUUUUGUAGAAAUUAAUUAACUUAGAAUAUGAAAAGGUGCUUGUGCAUGUGUUAUUCAUGGGAAUAUUGAUCGGCCCAAAGGAAGUCAAUGUAUAGCCGAAUACAUGUGCACCUAUGGUGAUAAAUAUGUGGCGAUUAUUUGGUUUAAUGUGUAAUCAAUAAAUCGGUCCAAAAAAUGUUUAUUGAUUGACACAUUAUUUUAUUGUCAAUGUUUGAUCACUACGCUAAGAGUACCACUUACAAGUCAAUAUUUCCAUCCAAAGACCAGAUAUUGAUGUUGUACUAGGUAUCUUGUGAUGAACCCUACCACUAUUUGAGAUUAUUAUUAUUUUCAUAUUAAAUAUAUUCAUGUGAGCUAUUCAUAAUAAUUGUUCUCUAAUUCAGUUUCAGGUUCUGCUGCUAAUAUCUCUGCUAGCAUCAAUUCAAUUCCAAUGCUUAAUGACACAAAUUUCAGGACAUAGCAAGAGACGUGAUGAUUGUUCUCGGAGUCAUGGACCUAGACCUUGCUUUAUGGGUCGAUCAAACUGUUGCACUUACUGAUAAGAGUAUUUCUGAUGACAAGAUGGAAAUGUACG